CGAAGGUCGUCUUCUUGUAAAUAAUCCCGAAAGCGAAGGGGAGGAUUGGAAGAAGUCCAUUAGCCCACUCACCCGCCCACAUUCCUCACUUUAGCGAGCCAAACCCGUGUUCCAGUUUCUUGUUAAUCUUACUUAUUUUCAAACUCUGCGAUUCCAAUUGAAUUUGGAAAUUCUCAUGUCGUAUCCUAGCUCAUAGCACACUCUUCACAAUACAUUCAUAUAAGAUUACAGUCAAAUUAAUAAACGAAUUGAUAAACUCCCGGUCAUGUCUCUUCCUCUCGGCAAGUUAACAAUCCUUCUUGGGGCAGGUAUUGUUGGAUCAGUUCUUGCAAAAGAAGGGCGCCUUUCAAAUGUUUCUGAUUUGGUUUCGGGUGCUUUAAAGAUUUUCUCCAAUUCAAUUAAACAAGUUGAAUCUCAUUUGUCUGCUAGCAAGCCACAGAAUGACACUUUGAUAGCUCAGGUUAAUUAUCUAAGAAAGGAGCUGGAUAGCUUGAAUUUUAACUCUCCAAUUACUGUUGUAACUGGAAGUGGAUCAGGUGGUACAAAGUAUGGCAUAAUUAUUGUUGUUGUAGUAGUUGGAUAUGGCUACAUUUGGUGGAAGGGCUGGAAGCUUCCUGAUCUGAGAUUUGCUACUAAACGUAGUUUAUUUGAUGCCUGCGGUGUUGUAUCCAAACAGCUUGAGGAUGUUUAUUCUUCAAUCUCGUCUGCCCAGAGGCAGUUGUCUUCAAAGGUUACCAGGGUGGAUCAUGAUGUGAAUAGAGUAGCAGAAAUAUCUCAGGCUACACAGGAAGAGGUUUCUAUACUUCAAGGAAGAUCAAGGAUGAUAGGUGAGGAAUUUCAGUCUGUUCGUGAGGUCGUUCAAAGUCUGGAAGUGAAGCUUAGUGAAAUAGAAGGCAAGCAGGAUUACACAACCCAAGGAGUGCUGAAGUUGUGUGAUUAUGCCCAAAGACAGGGAAGUGGUGGAACUGCAGAGCAUAUUCAGGCUUUGCAUUGCAGUUCCUCCAAGAAAACUCUUGAAUCACCAACAAUUACACCAUCAAGGACCGGGUCUUUGCCUCUGUCGCUUGAGCUGCCAUCUCCAUCCAAUUCUAAUGGAUCUCAGAAGGGUCAGUGGCCUUCUGUCUCACCCUCUGGCCUGAAGGAUUUUAGUGAAGUUUCAGAAGUGGGUGAGUCAACAAGUUUUGGAGUUCCUAAUGGAAACGGAGCUUCAGAAGACUGGAGCAAGAGGUCUUCAAGUAAUGGAGUGCUUGGGCUCGGGAAACGUUUUCGUGGUUCAGUUUUGACAAGACAGUGCAGUUCAAAAAAUGCAGUUGCAGAACUAGCACUUUCAAGUGGACAGCAAUGAGCAGUAAAAUAACAAAGGUGUGGGAGAUCAUCACAGCUGCCCGUAUUGUCAUUUCAGGCCUAGAUCAGAACUUUUAAACACUAAAAUCCAAUCCAUUCAAGUCAUUUCAGUGAGGAAAACUUAUGGGCUGCAAUUGGUAGAUUUGGAGUAGGUAGUCGAGCAACAGAAGAUGUAAUGGAUAAAGUGUGAAAUAGGCAUUAUCAGGCAAUAGAUUAUCAGUCACUCCAAAACUUGCUUUUAGAUGCAUCUGCUUUUGUUUCACUUGACUUAGUUGUGAAAAAUGUGGUGAAUUUGUGCAGUUGGCAUGUACAUUAGCGUUUGAAGCUGUUUGUGGCUCCUUAUGUGAUACUGGCAUCAAUCAUCCAAACCAAUACUUCAGCGAGAGCCAGAAGAUUUUGCAAUCUAAGAGCAAUGCAGGGGCAUAAAAGAGACGGAAUUUCCGGCAUCUACCCGAAUAUUACUAAUGCAGUGGACCGUAUGAGGUAAGACUUGGAGUACGCAAUCAUUCGUAUUCACAUGCUCAUCAAUAAAGUAUGGUGUUUGUAUUUGAUUGUUUAUGAACUAUGUUAGUAUAUUUAUUCUAGCAUGUUGAUUUUUUUUAUGGUCGUGAAACAUGAAAAAUGGGUUCUGCCAAUAUAAGUAUUUUUAAAUUCUGGUUUCCACGAAGAC